rnacentral:rRNA from 1 species
GACGAACCAAGAUGUCAUUAAUUUGGUGUCUUGGGGAAUCAGGACCGUUACUUUGAAAAAAUUAGAGUCGUUUAAAGCAGGCUCGCGCUUGAAUACAUUAGCAUGGAAUAAUGAAAUAGGACGUUUGAUUCUAUUUUGUUGGUUUCUAGGAUCGACGUAAUGAUUAAUAGGGAUAGUUGGGGGCAUUAGUAUUCAAUUGUCAGAGGUGAAAUUCUUGGAUUUAUUGAAGACUAACUACUGCGAAAGCAUUUGCCAAGGAUGUUUUCAUUAAUCAAGAACGAAAGUUAGGGGAUCGAAGACGAUCAGAUACCGUCGUAGUCUUAACCAUAAACUAUGCCGACUAGGGAUCGGAUGAUGUUAAUUUUUUAAUGACUCAUUCGGCGCCUUACG